rnacentral:rRNA from 1 species
GAGCUUGCUCCCAGGCGUCGAGCGGCGGACGGGUGAGUAAUGCAUAGGAAUUUGCCCAGUAGUGGGGGAUAGCCCGGGGAAACCCGGAUUAAUACCGCAUACGCCCUACGGGGGAAAGCAGGGGAUCUUCGGACCUUGCGCUAUUGGAUGAGCCUAUGUCGGAUUAGCUAGUUGGUGGGGUAAAGGCCUACCAAGGCGACGAUCCGUAGCUGGUCUGAGAGGAUGAUCAGCCACAUCGGGACUGAGACACGGCCCGAACUCCUACGGGAGGCAGCAGUGGGGAAUAUUGGACAAUGGGGGCAACCCUGAUCCAGCCAUGCCGCGUGUGUGAAGAAGGCUUUCGGGUUGUAAAGCACUUUCAGUGAGGAGGAAAACCUUACGAUUAAUACUCGUGAGGCUUGACGUUACUCACAGAAGAAGCACCGGCUAACUCCGUGCCAGCAGCCGCGGUAAUACGGAGGGUGCAAGCGUUAAUCGGAAUUACUGGGCGUAAAGCGCGCGUAGGUGGUUUGGUAAGCGAGAUGUGAAAGCCCCGGGCUUAACCUGGGAACGGCAUUUCGAACUGCCAGGCUAGAGUAUGGUAGAGGGUAGUGGAAUUU